CUCCGCAAAGCUCCGGGCGCUGCGCAAAUCGACUCGGUUUCAAUCACCGCUCAAUAAAGUACCGAGAGGCUGAAGCGAGAUCUUGAUGAAGAGGCAGAGCAGGAGAUGAGACCACAGGGAGGCGUGGACCGUAAGGGUUGUGACCAGCUCACAUUGGGGCAAUAGACCUUUCUACCUAUCUGCACAGGUCACCUUCCAUGCAGUCCACCAUGGUGAACUGCCAUGUUUCUACAGUAGUCCAGAAGGGACGAAAGAACAAACUCGCUCCAGAUAGGGGUGAUUCAGCCACCAUAGUGACUUCUUUCUGCUCUAGAAGGGAGGGUGAAACAAGGAAGGACACUGGAACUACACUGCUAGAUGCCACUAAAUCUAGAGGUCUAAUCAGCUGGGGUAAUUGAAAACACCUGUAUCGGUAUGCAGGGCAAUUUAAAAUAUGCUCCUAAAGACCAAAUCAAUCUAUAGCCCCUGAGAUGUUUGUUACAUUAUUUAUGUCAAAAGGUUUGCUUUAUAGUUUCCCAACAAGUGUGGCUUAAAUAUAUAGUAAAUAAUAUAACAUUAAUACAAACAAUGUGCUUUACAGUAUUUUUCUACAUGAAACAUUUGAGCUGCUUUGGUUUUAGGGUCCUGGUAUUGUGCAUGCUGCUUCACUGUCACACUGACAAUGUUACUGUCAUUAGUAACACCUGUGAUUUUCCUAUAAUGACCAAAAGUCAGAAUGUCUACUGUGAAAAAGGUAUAUAUUGCUGUAAUAUUUGUGCAGUAUUCCAGGGGUUCAAAAAAAUCAGGAGUGCAAUAUUUUAAUUGAGAAAUACUUUUAUUUUAAUUUCAGUAGUCCAAUAAAUAUUAAAUCCCA